CUCAAGCCAAGUGGCUCCUUCUUACUUGGCCAUAAUAUUUUGCAAGAUUUGUAAGUAAAGAAGAGAGAGAAGAUGAGAGUUAGCAAAAAGAAUUUGAAGGAAGGGAGAGAAAAGGAAGUGGUCGGCAACCACUUGAAGGAGAAAGAGAGAAAGAAAUAAAAUAGAAAGAGAAAGAGAAAGAGAAAGAGAAAGGAAGAGUUUCGGCAGUCUUAGGUGAGGGAGAAGAGAGGGGUUUGAUCCUUGCAUAUCCUAAGUUCAUCUCAUAUUAUAGAAGAAGAUGGAAAGCUCUAAAGGUAUAAAACCUAAACUUUAGCUUGAUUUAAUUAUUUUGGUUGUUUUAAAUCAAAUCAUGGGUUGUGAUCUUAAAAUCUAAAAAUCUUGGAUCUACAUGUUAUAUAGUGUAUUAUGUAUAGAUCUAACUAUUUUGAGUGAUAAAAAAUUGGAUCAAGAGAAAGAAAAGUAAAAUAAUUUUUAAAGCUUAAGAAAAUUAGUAGACUGCUGACCCUAAGAGGGAAUUUCGAGAUUAGUUAGAUGUUCCAGAAAAUUUUGGGCUUUUGGUAUAUUGUAGUACACUGAAUAAGCUUUCCAUAGACUCCGGAACGGACUAUAUCCGACUUCGGAGGAAAGAGUUAUGCCAUUUUAAAGUAGCCAAGUCAAAACUGGAAAACUCAUUUCGGUUCAGUCCCUUUGUACGAAUUUCUGGGCUGAUAUGUUCGGAAUCUGGAAAAACGUCAGUAGGGAAGAGUUGUAGUCCUGGAAGUUAGCUUCGUGUGAGCUCAAGAAUUGCCUAAAAAUGUUUUAAAAUGAAAGAGUUAUGGCUGUUUUAGCGAAAGAGGGUAAAUCUGGGAAAAAGAUGAAAAUUGUUGCGAGUGGACAUUUUUGGGGACAGUUUUACGCUGCCUAAGAGGUCCGAAAUUACUGGCUGAUAUUUUCUAAAAAUACAUUGGUAUGACAUGUAUAACAUAUCCAGAAAUCAGAUUAAUCGGAGUUACGAGUAAUACGUGAGAAAAUCGCGAAAUAACUAGUUUGUUAAGCGCACGGCUGGGCAACAGCAGUAGCCAGGCAGCACCCGCGCACGCCUGCCCAGCCGCGCGACGCCGUGAUGUGCUGUUGUUUGACGUCCUUUUCGCGCAUUGUUUUGAUUAGUUUCCGUGAUCUAUUUUCGAGGUGUGAAAUUUUUCUAAAAUACUAUGACAUGAGGUCUAUAAUACGCCCAAAAUUUCGCUGUUAUAUGACUCAUGAUUUGAGAAUUAAAAAUGAUCGAAUAGGCAUGUCAAGACUUGUAAACGAGCGAACGCCGAGCGUCGGUGCGUCGAACGACUUUGACGUUCGACGUUCCGAAUCGCGUUCCGGCAAAAUAAUAAGUCAUAAUAAAUCUAAUAAAGUCCUAACGGACGAGAUUUGACUAUAAGUGAUAUUUAUGCCGAGAAACUUUCUUUUAGGCAUAAAUAAAGCAAUAAAAAUAUGUAAUAAAUAUAAAUUACAUAUUUAAGCGAAAUAAAGCGAAUAUGUAUAUAUAUAUUUUGUGGUGCAACAAAGAAUGUAAAACUCUUAAAAAAUUGCAUUAAUCAUAAACAUGAUAUUUUGAGGUUUUCGGUGCUCAAAAUGAAGUUUUUAAGCUGAGAUUUAUGUAACGUAAUAUAUAUAUAUAUAUAUAUAUAUAUAUAUAUAUAUAUAUAUAUAUAUGAAACGAAAAAGCGAAUAAUCGUAAAAUGAAAAAUAAAGCGAAUGUGUUAGCGAGAUAAAAUAUUUAUAUAUGAGGCAACAGUCAGUGUUGACUAAUAAUAUAAUAAAUUGAGUUUUACUAUAAAAGCUAUGCAUUAGCUGUUUAAACUCCGAAUUUGCGAGUAAAGGUAAAUGAUAUUUCUGAAAUGAAAUUUAAAUGGUUAAAGCUUCAAGAUGUAAAAUAUUUGCAUCUUAAAAUGUGUGAGACCUUUAUUAUUUAUGAAACAAAUAAAAUAUUAUUACAUGAUUAACAAUAUUAGAAGGUGAUUAAAAUAUUAUUAAAUGAUUAAUAAUAUUAGUAAAGGAUUUAAAUAUUAUUAAAUGAUUAAUAAUAUUUAUGAAUGAUAAAUAUUCUAUUAAAUGAUUAAAAAUAUUAGAUAAAAGUUUAAGAUAAUGGUUAAGUGAUAGUAAUAUUAUUAAGGGAUAAUAAUAUUACUAAUGAGUUAAAGAAUUAUUCAAUGUUUAAUUAUGUGGCUAAAUGUUAGCUAAUUUAUUAUUUGAGUAAUAAUGUUGUGAGAUAAAAUGUAUUAUGUUAAUUGAAGGAUCGAUCUUAUUAAUGAUAGGUCUUUCAUAAGAGAUUAAAUUAGAUUGCAUAGCGAUAAUCAACGAUGCAGGCAAGUUUCCUUAACUCAAACUUGAGUUGUAUGUUUAAAGCAUGUUGGUGAAUAAUUAUUGUUACUUAUUCACGUCUAUACUGAUUAUUGAUUCGCACUUAGUGCAUGUUGCAUAUGUUCAUUAGGGGUGAAAGGCUGAUCACCUUCAUUACCAUAAGGUUCAGUUAAAUUGUUCAUGGUCAUUUUUGACCUUCAAACAUUAUUGAUUCAGUCAUGCAAUUAUUAAAACUUGAUUCAUAUUAUUUCACAAUUAUUAUAUUGUUGAAAACUUGAAAGCUUAUUCAUUCUUUUCAAUCAUGAUAUAUCUCCGUUGUAUUUAAAACUUGCUGGGCAAAUUUGUUGCUCACCCUUACUAUAUCAUGAUAAAAAUUUUCAGAUUAAGAUGAAAGCUCGAGUAAAGACAGAAGCAAAGACAAAGUGCAAGAUUAAAUUAUGGUGCAGUUAGAUUUAUUAAAUUUUCUGACGAAAAUAGAAUUGUAAACCUUUUUAGAUAUUGAAGGUAUAUUUUUAGUUAAGGUUGUAGACCUUGGGAAUGAUGUGUAAAAGUUAAAUGUAUAAAUAAUUUAUGUUUAUAUCUUCCGCAAUAAUUAUAGAAAUAAUGUACCAGCUCUGAGGUAAAAAGCACCCGAAUUUGGGGAUGUCACAACGUUACUUGUUGAUCCAACAUUUGGCCGCCUGCAUUUUUUUUUUUUUGCUUCUCCCUCUCUUCUAAUUGGUCCAACUAUUUCUCCCUUAUUUUUAAUUGGUUGGCAUAUAUUAGAUUUGCCUGCUAAAUUAUUUAGCUAGAUACCCUUCACCAACUGUAUCCAAUUAACUCCUCCAAAUAUCGAC
rnacentral:lncRNA from 1 species